GGGGGUGAAGCCCAGUGGUACAGCACUUGCCUAGCAUGCAUGAGGCUCUGGGUUCAAUACCCAGCACUGCAA
rnacentral:tRNA from 1 species